UGCGUUGAGGCGCAACAGUUGACUGGACAUCUUGGGGUAAAGCACUACUUCGGUGUGGACCGCCUCAGCUGUACCAAAUCGAGGUAAACUCUGAAUACUAGAUAUGACCUCAAAUUAAGAGGGCUCAAGGUCGGCUAGUGAGACAAUGGGGGAUAAGCUUCAUUGUCGAGAGGGAAACAACCU
rnacentral:ncRNA from 1 species